rnacentral:rRNA from 1 species
UACGUAGGGGGCUAGCGUUGUCCGGAUUUAUUGGGCGUAAAGAGCGUGUAGGCGGCCAGGUAGGUCUGCUGUGAAAACUCGAGGCUCAACCUCGAGACGUCGGCGGAAACCAUCUGGCUAGAGACCGGGAGAGGUGAGUGGAAUUCCCAGUGUAGCGGUGAAAUGCGUAGAUAUCGUAAGGAAGGUCCGGUGGCGAAAGCGAACCUCUGGGCAGCAGCUGACGCUGUGGCACGAAGGCCAGGGGGAGCAAACGGG